rnacentral:lncRNA from 10 species
GUCUGGAGCCUCGCGGGCAGUGCGGCUCCCCUCCUGGCUGCAGACAAAACCCCACAGCUGUGGGGCCCCCACCCUGUCCUAACCACCGAAACUUCUCUUUGGUCACAGGUUGCAUAUUCAUCGAAGAGAACUUUUCUUUGAAAUGUCCCAAACAUAAGAGGCUGCCGUAGUAAUCCACCCCAACGGCCGGAGGAGCCGCCGGAGCCCGCCUGCCCGCCCGCCGCCGAAGGAGAGGAGCCGCCUGCGCAGCCCCCGGGCCUUUGAGCUGCUCCCAGCGCUGGUCCAGAGCCGAUCCUUGAUCCGGGUCCCGGAUCGUGGAUCCGGCCGCCUAGGGCUCAGACUUGCGGCCCCGGGUUGGGAGGAAAACCCGUUCCGGAGCCGCCUGCUCCCGGAACCGGACGGCACAGGGCGUUCUUGCCCACCCCAGGGGCCAGGCUUGCGGAGGGGGAGCCCGCGGAGCGGCCAGACUCCCCGGGGCGCUCAGCCUCCGGCGAGGGUGGGAGACGGCUUUGUCCUGGGGACACUUUCCCUCUGGAAUCUCAAGACGACGUGGCACACAUUCCACGUGGGUGCUGCCGCCACCCCAGUCGGUCGUGGCGUGCAGCUGGGAGCCCUGGGCUUGGGGGUGGGGGUCGAAACAGUACUGGAAGAGGCGGAGGGCGGCUCCUAGCUCCGUGGACUAGGCGGGGGAGAAAGGAAGCCUUUCUGAGAGCGGGCUAGGCCGGCACUGGAGAGGCCGGAGCCUUUGGAACAAACCGUGCGGAACGCGUCCAGGGGCCUUCCCGCCCAGCCUUUGCCAGAUCUCUCGUGCGGUUCGGGCAAAGCCGGGGUAGACCUGGGCUAUGCUCAGUUAGGGGUUGCGGGAUCCCCGAGUGUGG